rnacentral:misc_RNA from 1 species
UUUUUUUCGAAAAAAAAACUUUACGAUAGGUAUUGAGUCAUCAACAUGCGUGGGGCGGUCGGUUUCGUUGCUUCGGAUCUUGCGUAUUUUCUAGAUGGACGUAAUUCGUUAAUCAUUCUUCGUUAGUGACCCGACUUAAUUGCCAUUUGCCAGCGUUUACGAGCGAUGUCGGUUGAGCUUUGCUCCGGCUUAGACUGCAAAAUAUACGUAUUGGGUAGCGUUACGGGCCAUGUUGGUCGAGCUUUGCUCGACCUAGACUGCCGGUAUAAAACGCAGGCAACCGUGGACAAGCGAUGUUGGUUGAGCUUUGCUCCGGCCUGACUGCUAGUUACACGGAUGUAUGUUACUCGGGGCAUGUUUAGCGAAUUCACUGAACUCGAUGUAAAUACACCAGCAAGAGAUGAUGCAACGUAGCUCACCGUUUGGUUUCCUGAUUUCGUAUCGUUCGGUGCAUUCUGGGGCUGUUUUGGCUUUUGGUUGCUUGCUUCGCUUUAGGCAAAGCGGGUGGCUACUAGUCGGGGUGGCUUCGGGGAUGUUCUCCGUAAAGGUGCAUGAGUGGUGUUUGGUUUGUUACGUGUGGUUGGCUGCGGCGCUUGCAACAACUUCCACGCUCUCAUACCUCUUCAGUAGUGCGGCAAGGCUUGUAUCGCCUUGAGCGUAAUGUGGGUUUUCUGUGUUUUAUACCUAAUCAACGGUAUCGGUUGGAUAGAUAAAAAGUUGCUUUUCGCCUUGCGUUGCAUUUGCGGCGUGAGGUGAACCUGAAUGCGUUCUCUUUGGUCCACCUUGUCGCAGCACAAGCUUCGGCAUUGUGGCACAUUGAGUAUUGCUUGGUUUCUUGUAUACGGAACAUAAUGYGGGCAUGGAUCUAACGAUUCUUGUUUGCCCUUGUUUCAGCGUUCUCGCUUCUUUAAAACGACU